rnacentral:rRNA from 1 species
AGUGAACGCUGGCGGUAGGCCUAACACAUGCAAGUCGAACGGCAGCACAGUAAGAGCUUGCUCUUACGGGUGGCGAGUGGCGGACGGGUGAGGAAUACAUCGGAAUCUACUUUUUCGUGGGGGAUAACGUAGGGAAACUUACGCUAAUACCGCAUACGACCUGCGGGUGAAAGCAGGGGAUCUUCGGACCUUGCGCGAUUGGAUGAGCCGAUGUCGGAUUAGCUAGUUGGCGGGGUAAAGGCCCACCAAGGCGACGAUCCGUAGCUGGUCUGAGAGGAUGAUCAGCCACACUGGAACUGAGACACGGUCCAGACUCCUACGGGAGGCAGCAGUGGGGAAUAUUGGACAAAGGGCGCAAGCCUGAUCCAGCCAUACCGCGUGGGUGAAGAAGGCCUUCGGGUUGUAAAGCCCUUUUGUUGGGAAAGAAAAGCAGCAGGUUAAUACCCCGCUGUUCUGACGGUACCCAAAGAAUAAGCACCGGCUAACUUCGUG